rnacentral:rRNA from 1 species
UACGAAGGGGGCUAGCGUUGUUCGGAUUUACUGGGCGUAAAGCGCACGUAGGCGGAUUGUUAAGUCAGGGGUGAAAUCCUGGAGCUCAACUCCAGAACUGCCUUUGAUACUGGCAAUCUUGAGUCCGGAAGAGGUGAGUGGAACUCCUAGUGUAGAGGUGGAAUUCGUAGAUAUUAGGAAGAACACCAGUGGCGAAGGCGGCUCACUGGUCCGGUACUGACGCUGAGGUGCGAAAGCAUGGGGAGCGAACAGG